ensembl:lncRNA
GACUCAUUUGCUUAUUUUUAACUGGGGCAGCUCCUAUCGAAGGAGCAAAAUGACUCCAAGUCUGAGUGACAGUGGUGGGGGAUGGAGUCCCAACGUUAAUCUUCUCCAUGCAGGUCAGAAGAAGUGGAAACCUCCACUGAAUGCCACGUCGUCCCACGACCCUUGUAAACAAGGCGGACUUCUUCAACGUAUUUAUUUUAGGUAUGGGAACAGACACUUAAUGAGAUUAACGGAUACCGAAGUGAAUGGGGCUGCGAAGCACUGCGGAUACGUGUCCUGGCUGCUCGGGUGGGACAGGCUGAUGAAGUUCACCUCUAUGUAAAACGUGGAGGGAUAGGAAGCCCUCACACCUAGCACUGCUUCUCCUCUGUCCCUUGGGAACUGUAUGGGUAUCUACGUGCGAAGCAAUGCAGACCCCGUGUCCACCAAGGGACAUGGUGGUGGUGGGUUGGUGGUUGGACUUGGUGAUCCUCAUGGCCAUUUCCAAUCCUAAUGAUCUGACAACUCUAUAAUUCCAUGCUCCAUCGUCACCUGCUUUGGGCCAUCCCUCAGUGGAUGACCAGGCAGUGCACCACCAAGGCUCUGCAGCAGCCUCCAUGCAAACCCAACCACUGCAUCUGUUGGUGGCCAUAACACCUUCAACCCUAAGCAGCAGCGAUGCAUUGCAAGUCAGUGCGCUUGGACGAUGCGCUUGCAUGAUGCCCUUGUCUGGUGCACUAGCAGGAAGCAAUUGCACCACACACUUGUAUGAUGCACCAUGCACUUGUAUGAUGCAUCAGCGUGAUGCACUUGUAUGAUGCACUUCCACCGUGCAUUAUGAUGCACUUGCACGGUGCAGGCAAGGAAACGCUGCCUACCAGGUCUCUCCUCCCCCUUUUCCCCAGGUUUCAGCACAUCAAUCCUGCAGUUCUGACCUUGGAAAGCACUGCAGCAUUUGACCAAACACCUGAACAAGGCUUUGGCCCCCACUGCAUCUCAAAGAGGCUGUGCAGGGCCAGACAGCACUGACUGUGGGCAAAAGAAAACCCCUAAUUAAACAUCCCGUCGGGAAGUGACAUCCCCACCACUGCUCUGUAUUAGAGGAGCCAGGGCCGUGCUUGGAUUUACCAUAGGCAGCUCCUUAGCCAAUAUAAUUAAGAACAGUAUCAGUGGAAGGCAUGUAAGGAGAUUUUCUCCCCGAGGCCACCUAAUACAGAUGUAAUUGACUCUAUUUUCUGCUUUCUGCACAUGGAUUGCCGCAACUCAGCCCCUAUUAUCCGCCAACAAAUGAACAGGAUCUGCUGAAAGGACCUCUCCAGCCAGGGCCAGGCGCAGAGAAUGGAGCACUGGGCUGUGUUAAAUCCGGACACAACGCUCUCCUUCCCUCCCUUUUCAUCUCAGCCGCCUUUUCAAGAUGUUUUCCAUGCGGGAUAAGUCAGCAGAUCUGGGCUUGGGCAAAGCGUUGGCACUCGGGGAAGAAGGGAACAUCUGUCCCAAUCAGCUGUGCUAUUCUGUGCCGCCCGACAAAACUGGGUGAUGCCUUCGAGAGGGGCUUUGUGAGCACGGCUGCAAUUUCCUUUCGCUGCGAUUCCGAAGGGCGGGGAAGGAGGAAGGGAGGUGAGAAAAGAAAUUAAACCCCAUUGGCUUUGUGGUGAAAGAGGCCCUGAAAAAUCUCCAUUUCUAACGCUGCAAAAUCCCCACCGCGUUCCCACAGCCGUCCCCCAAAAGGAUGUCCUCAGCAGCAGAGGCACAAGGAAUAAUAGUUUGUUAGUGCAGAUAGCAAUUUGCUUAGCAAUACCCUUGCUUACAGCUGAAGGAGCCCCAACGCUUCCUUGGAGCAA